GAUGAAGAACGCAGCGAAAUGCGAUACUUGGUGUGAAUUGCAGAAUCCCGUGAACCAUCGAGUCUUUGAACGCAAGUUGCGCCCGAAGCCACUAGGCCGAGGGCACGCCUGCCUGGGCGUCACACGUCGUUGCCCCCCCCCCAUCUACUCCUUCGGGAUUGCGGGGGGCGGAUGAUGGCCUCCCGUGCGCCUAGCCGCGCGGUUGGCAUAAAUACCAAGUCCUCGGUGACGCACGCCACGACAAUCGGUGGUUGCGAAACCUCCGUUGCCCGUCGUGUGCGUUCGUCGCGCAUCGAGGGCUCGAAAAAAUGCUCGGCUCCGGCUCGGCUUUCAACGCGACCCCAGGUCAGGCGGGGUUACCCGCUGAAUUUAAGCAUAUCAAUAAGCGGAGGA
rnacentral:misc_RNA from 1 species